rfam:Candidatus Magasanikbacteria bacterium RIFCSPHIGHO2_01_FTLL_33_34 rifcsphigho2_01_scaffold_38, whole genome shotgun sequence.
CUUGGUGGUCCUUGCGGUGGGGGUAUACCUGUAUCCAUCCCGAACACAGUAGUCAAGUCCACUAGCGCUGAUGGUAGUCGAAAGGCAAGAGUAAGCAGCCGCCAAGA